GCAAGUCGUACGAGAAAGCCACUUCGGUGGUUAGUAAAGUGGCGCACGGGUGAGUAACGCGUGGGUAAUCUGCCCUAGAGUUUGGGAUAACCCCGGGAAACCGGAGCUAAUACCGAAUAAGACCACGAUGACUUCGGUCGAUGUGGGAAAAGAUGGCCUCUUCUUGAAAGCUAUCGCUCUUGGAUGAGCCCGCGUUUGAUUAGCUUGUUGGCGAGGUAACGGCUCACCAAGGCUCCGAUCAAUAGCUGGUCUGAGAGGACGACC
rnacentral:rRNA from 1 species